CAACAGCGGAACAGAUAGACAGAAUUAGCAGACAAGUGAAGUUUGCAGACAAUAAUAACUACAUUCAGAGUGCCGGGAUACACAAAAGCAGUAAUUAAGUGUGUCAGUCAGCGCGAACUCAAGGCGGCACACUCCUGCAGGUCGGUGUGUACGAACCGCUGUUACAGCUUCUGCUGCAGUCCAGUCCGGGAGAGACUGACCAGCGUUGGCAGAAGGCUUAUUCAGAACAAGCAGACCCGCGAGCCGCAUCCAUCCGCGAGCCGCAUCCAUCCGCACGUCUCAGUGAUGUCAUCGCUUUAAUUAGCGUAUAUAUCCACGCUGCUGGUGACCUGGAGCUGGUUGGCCAAUUA